GGUCCAGUCAUGGCUCUGCCAAUUCUAGAAGUGUGCAAGGGCCUCUGUUUCUUUAUCUGUGAAAUGGGAAUAAUAAUGACUGCCUGAUUCCUCUCCCAGCAUUCUCACAACAAUUCAGCAAGAUAAUGCAUGCAAACAUUAUUGAGAAGCCACUCUGCCUGUGACCCUACAUCCUCCAUGACCCUCCAUGACCCUCCAUGACUCUCCCUUACUGCUACUCCCAGAAGCAUUUGAGGUGGGAACCCAGCGCUUUCCAUAGUGCUUUAAUAAUAAUAGUUAUGUGAUGUAUUGAGUCCUUAGGAGGUACCCUCUCUGCCAAAGACUUCCGUGACAAGCAGAAAGCAAAGUGCCAACACUGGACUCACAGUCUUGAUGACAACCCCCGAAGGUUAAGUAUUUCCUCUGUUUUUCAGAGGAGGAACAUGAGGAUUGGAAAGUUGAUCAACUUUCCCAGAGUUACAAAUUUCAUUAGAGGGGGAGUUAGGUUUUGAACCACCAGGCAAAACUGAAAAAGAAGGAAAUAAACAACAACAAUCCAGAUGACUACUCACAUCCCUCCUUUAACCAUGUCAUUUUAGGAGAGGAUGUCUGAGUAGCUAAUAGAGUUCGGUUUUUCUCUAGGCUUGAAGAAAGGGUUAAAAAUGCAGGGUCCUGUCCAAAACACACUAGUAACUUUUCCCUUUUGUUGCAUUCCAAGCACACAUGUAUUUCCCGCCUGCUCCAGGGGCUGGGACAUCCUUGCUGAGGCUGCGGCUUAUGACCUAUCAUCACCUUCAACAUCAGCCUGGAAAGCUCUAAUCGUCACAAUUACGAAGAGAACCAGAAGAAAAGAGUAGAAGAAACUCUGAAGAUCUCGUUAAUCAACAGCUUCAAUCAUUGCUAUGGUUACAAGUAAUCAAGUAAUUGUCCUUCACUAGUUUGUGUUUGCUCUUGGCUGGACAGAUUGGGAGUUUUCAUACCUACCAAUACCUUUCCCAGGAAAUGAAAAGUCAUUGGCCCAUGACACCCCAAAGAAUUUUCUUUGUCCUAGUUCCAUUGACAACUGCCCCUGGAAAUUUCUGUAGCCAUUUAUUCCAGUUCAGCAGGUAUUUCUUCUCCCAAGACCUUGGUCCAGAAUUCAUCCUCAUUGAGUUCAUUGGGAUUCCAAGUGGCCUCCAUUCCCUUCCAUAACCGGCACAGCCCAGACUCAGAGUAAGGCUCCCACCAACAGAGUUAGAUGAGGG
rnacentral:lncRNA from 12 species